GCCCUCUCUAUGGCGACUUGCGAGGUGCGACCACCAUCACCAACCACCAUCACCACCUUCUCUUCCCAAUCGCGACUACCCCAUCACCGCCCUCUAGAACACCACCAUGACCAUGCGAAUCGAAAUCGACCACCUUCAUCUCAUCUCCUCCCAAAUUAAGUCUGUAGAGUAUCACGUAUGCAAGCCCAGCAAGUUGACACCAAAUAUGAUCAGGAUGAGGGAAAGAUGUAUUCACCCCUCUGAGAACUGGGAGAAGGCUGCGAACGCCUUGUACUGACAGCAUAGCCUUUCUCAUUGUUUUCUAUUGAGCUAUUCUAUAUACAAAAUCCAAAUAACCUGUUCUAAAAAAAAUUAAAAAAAAAAAAAGAAGUAAUUUGGACCUGUGGACUCGGCCCAAAUCAGCCCGUUUAAAACGGGCCGGGUUAGGUUCGGUUUCAAAUCUCAAAAUUCAUACACCCGGUCGGGCCCGUCCCGUUGCAUUUUAAACGGGUCGAGUCCGGUUCCUACAAAUUUGGGUCCGGCCCGUGCCCACCCCUAGGUUUUUUAUUAGCACCUUUUUUCUUGUUGAAUAGUUGGCUUCAACGCCUACUUAUACAAUAUACAAUAUAGAAUAUACAUUUAAAUAGUUGUUUGUGGUGAAGAAGAUGAGUUUGAUGUGGAGUUUAAGUGGUGAUGGGGGUGUAUGUAUAAAGUGUGGAGCAUGAGAGUAGUGUUGGAAUGUAUCUAGACUGUAUUAAAAUAAACUAUAAUUUAAAAGUAAAUGUGGCGUGUAUUAAGUA